rnacentral:rRNA from 1 species
GUCGAGCGCAGGAAACCGUCUGAACCCUUCGGGGGGACGACGGCGGAAUGAGCGGCGGACGGGUGGGUAACACGUAAAGAACCUGCCCAUAGGUCUGGGAUAACCACGAGAAAUCGGGGCUAAUACCGGAUGUGUCAUCGGACCGCAUGGUCCGCUGAUGAAAGGCGCUUCGGCGUCGCCCAUGGAUGGCUUUGCGGUGCAUUAGCUAGUUGGUGGGGUAACGGCCCACCAAGGCGACGAUGCAUAGCCGACCUGAGAGGGUGAUCGGCCACACUGGGACUGAGACACGGCCCAGACUCCUACGGGAGGCAGCAGUAGGGAAUCUUCCACAAUGGACGAAAGUCUGAUGGAGCAACGCCGCGUGAACGAUGAAGGCUUUCGGGUCGUAAAGUUCUGUUGUAAGGGAAGAACAAGUGCCGCAGGCAAUGGCGGCACCUUGACGGUACCUUGCGAGAAAGCCACGGCUAACUACGUGCCAGCAGCCGCGGUAAU